rnacentral:rRNA from 1 species
GACGAACGCUGGCGGCGUGCUUAACACAUGCAAGUCGAACGGUGAAAGCGGAGCUUGCUCCGCUGGAUCAGUGGCGAACGGGUGAGUAACACGUGGGCAACCUGCCCCUCACUUCGGGAUAACUCCGGGAAACCGGGGCUAAUACCGGAUAUGACCUCCUUGGGCAUCCUUGGAGGUGGAAAGUUUUUCGGUGAGGGAUGGGCCCGCGGCCUAUCAGCUUGUUGGUGAGGUAGUGGCUCACCAAGGCGACGACGGGUAGCCGGCCUGAGGGGGCGACCGGCCACACUGGGAAUGAGAAACGGCCCAGACUCCGACGGGAGGCAGCAGUGGGGAAUAUUGCGCAAUGGGCGAAAGCCUGACGCAGCAACGCCGCGUGCGGGAUGACGGCCUUCGGGUUGUAAACCGCUUUCAGCAGGGAAGAAACCGCAAGGUGACGGUACCUGCAGAAGAAGCACCGGCUAACUACGUGCCAGCCGCCGCAGUAA